UGCGUAGGCGGAUUAAUAAGUCAGUGGUGAAAACCUGCAGCUUAACUGUAGAACUGCCAUUGAUACUGUUAGUCUUGAGUACGGUCAAGGUAGGCGGAAUGUGUAAUGUAGCGGCGAAAUGCUUAGAUAUUACACAGAACACCGAUUGCGAAGGCAGCUUACUGGACCAUUACUGACGCUGAGGCACGAAAGCGUGGGGAGCGAACAGGAUUAGAUACACUGGUAGUCC
rnacentral:rRNA from 1 species